AUCCCCCUCCCUUUUUCCCUCUCUCUUUCACGCUUCAAAGCUCAGGUAUGACAGAUUUCUAUAAAAUUUCUGUAAAAUUCUCAGUCUUUCGGUGACUCUGAUUGCUAGGAGUACUUGGAAUGUGGUGAGGAGAGCUCAGUCAAUUGGAAGGAAGGUUGCUAGAAUUUGGAAAAAUGGGUUCAAAUACUCUGGAGAACAAGGUUGGUCCCUCUGCUGUUGUUCCCAUCCUCCAAUUCUCUCUCUCCGGCCACUGGCAUUUUACGUUCUACGGGUUUGAAAGGGCACACAAACCCAACACCCAAAUAGAAACGGAUUCCCUGUUACAUUCAUGUGUAAUUUUUAAUAAUAAAAAAAUUCCCUUCAUCACUUCUUUUAGCAUUAUAUAUUGUGGGAACAAUUGAAGAAAAGAAAGUAAAAUAUAAAAGUGCACUUUAAAUACAGCAGAGAGAAAGUUCUUACAACAAUAGAUUGGAACUUUACAUAAGCAUUCCUUUCUGAACGAAAUUGAAGCAUCUGAUGCGAGUGUUAGAAAUUGGAACGUUAUGCAUGUUAGAUUACUCUCUACAAUUUUCUUAUCUUUUUGAUCAAUCAACAAUUGAUUUAAGGUCCCUAGAUGUCUUUUAUUGACACUUCAAUGGCAUACUCAAAUGAUAAUAUGCUUGCCAUACAUAUUCCAUGCUUACUUCACUUCCUAUCUUGCAGGUGAUCUGCUCAUCCUUAAACAGAAUGAAUUGCACCGGAUCACGCUUCCAUUUAUGAUUAACUGCUCCUUUCUAGGAAAGUAUACCACAAUCUAGAUUUGGUGGUGAUCUUCAACAUGAUGUCCAGAAAGGGGAUACAGUGAUUAAUGCCACUUGUGGCAAUGGUUAUGAUACUUUAGCAAUGGUCAUUAUACUUGCUGAUGAAUUAGCCAGGGUUGUGUUUAUGCAAUGGAUAUUCAGAAUGAUGCUUUAGAGAAUACUUCUUCCUUGCUAGAAGAGUUGCUCAAUCCAAACAAGCUGCCCUUUUCUCACAGUUCCAUUUAUUUGUUCAACUUUAUCUGCUAAGAAAAGCAGAAACUGUACAGUUGUUAUUUUUGGGAUGUUGCCUACUAAUUUUGGAUAAUGAAGCUUCUAAAGUAAUCGAUUUUCGGUUUUAACAUAUAUGGAUCUUUAGUUCUAAACUAAAUUCCUUUUAGUUUUCUUUUCUUUGAUACCAGGUCCAGAAGGUACAAAACACAGGAAGUCUUUAGCUAAUACAGCUUUUACAAAAGAUUUGGUCCAACCAAAGAGAAUGUAUGGGGGAUUUGAUGCACGUCUUUGCUUUUGAGAGCUAUAAGCAAAUCAAUCAUGGCGUCAAAUUGAUCAUUUUCCACCACCAAUACCUUCUUAACAUCUUCAGUAAAUCUGACACAGUAAGCUCCACUUUUCUUGCUUUCUAAAGUCUCAAAUCUAAUGUUAGUGAAACUUGAUAACUACAUCCUUCAGAAGCAUCAAAUCGCAACCAUACAAAAGAAUAUCAUGUCAAUGAAUUUCACUUCUAAGAAAUUUCAUUGCUUAUGGUUGCCCAAGAGCGAGAGCACAUAACCACACAGCCUAACUCUUGGAGGAAGGUAUAGCCACUUAUUUCCAAACAAACUUAGAAGUAAGAUUUUACGCGGGAUGGUUGAAGCAUAGUGGCAGAGUUAUGUCAUGUGCAGUGGAUUAAGUCCAAACCUUUCGAGAGGCUAUCUCUUCAUCAACCAUAACUCCUGAAGGUCAAUGCAAUAGACUAUGCUCUACCUCCUAUUUAUGUUUCCAAAAUUAAUUUUGAUGAGCUUACUGAUAAACUGGGAUGCUACUGAGUUAUGGUGUGGUAAUUAUAGAUACUGCAGUUGCAAUCAUUGCUGAUUGGUGUGACCUAAGGGCUAAGGCAUAUGGAUGCAGACAAAGGAUAGCUUCAAUCAAUGGAGCCUUGUUUAUCUUUUGUUAGCCAUCUGGUGGAUGACUUAAAAAACAAAGUUGCAAAAGUUAAGUGUUCAGUUAGAUGGUCACCUUAGUGUUGCAAUAAGGAUGUGCUCAUAUGUUAGCUUUAGAUGCAAACAAAUACCACACAAGUAGGAUUUGGCUGGAGGAUACUCCUCCAUGUUUCCAAAAUUAAUAGUGAAUUGCUUGCAAUAAAAUUACUCUCUUUCAACAAAGAAAAGGUUUUCCAUCUUCUUGUCCCUAGUAGACAGAACUGCAGGCAUGGUUUCAAAGUAAUUGUCAGACAGAGAAAUGUAAUCAAAUCUUUUCCAGCGUGAGAUCUCUUUAGAACAUAUUUUGAGUAUUGAGUGUUGCAUCGGUACAGUAGCAAGGGCAUGUGAACUAGAAUUGGGUCACAUGCCAAUGAAAUUAUUGACAGACGUAUCA